rnacentral:rRNA from 1 species
GAUGAACGCUGGCGGCGUGCCUAAUACAUGCAAGUCGAGCGAACGGACGAGAAGCUUGCUUCUCUGAUGUUAGCGGCGGACGGGUGAGUAACACGUGGAUAACCUACCUAUCAGACUGGGAUAACGUCGGGAAACCGGAGCUAAUACCGGAUGAUAUUUUGAACCGCAUGGUUCAAAAGUGAAAGACGGUCUUGCUGUCACUUAUAGAUGGAUCCGCGCUGCAUUAGCUAGUUGGUAAGGUAACGGCUUACCAAGGCAACGAUGCAUAGCCGACCUGAGAGGGUGAUCGGCCACACUGGAACUGAGACACGGUCCAGACUCCUACGGGAGGCAGCAGUAGGGAAUCUUCCGCAAUGGGCGAAAGCCUGACGGAGCAACGCCGCGUGAGUGAUGAAGGUCUUCGGAUCGUAAAACUCUGUUAUUAGGGAAGAACAUAUGUGUAAGUAACUGUGCACAUCUUGACGGUACCUAAUCAGAAAGCCACGGCUAACUACGUG